rnacentral:rRNA from 1 species
AUGGUAGACGACCUCAGGCGCCCUUGGAAGCCAGUGUCGAAGGCUUCACAUCAACCUACAAAGUCUACUUUUGAGGUCGAUGGGACACUAGGCCGCGUACUCGCCCAGGUGGGAGAGAUAAAAGCAAUAGUGUGUCAGCAAUAUUCGGAGAUUUACGCAAAACUGGACGGAGUAGAAAGGCGCCAGAAGCAAAACAACAUGCGCUUGGAGGACUUCAUUUGUGCAUUCAAUGAUCAUCGAUUUGGAGUAGGACAGAAGGACUUUAAUGAGGGUCAGAGAGUUGAUAAUAAUAUCAAGAAAACCUCAAAGAAUGUUGCUGCUAGUACAAAUGAAGUGCCAAAGUGUGUCUACAGCAACCCCAGCAAGAACCUUGCUGGGGAAUUUGAGAAGGUAAAAAAACACCUGUGGACCCCCACAAAGGAAAAACAGACAGAGAUGACGCUGUGGACUCAUUUAGUAAGCGUUUUAGGAGUGACAGCAAGAACUUACCCUCCCAAUCUGAGAAGGUGA